GAUGAAGAACGUAGCGAAAUGCGAUACUUGGUGUGAAUUGCAGAAUCCCGUGAACCAUCGAGUCUUUGAACGCAAGUUGCGCCCGAAGCCAUUAGGCCGAGGGCACGCCUGCCUGGGCGUCACACGUCGUUGCCCCCCCCAUCUACUCCUUCGGGAUUGCGGGGGGCGGAUGAUGGCCUCCCGUGCGCCUCGUCGCGCGGUUGGCAUAAAUGCCAAGUCCUCGGCGACGCACGCCACGACAAUCGGUGGUUGCGAAACCUCGGUUGCCCGUCGUGUGCGGUCGUCGCGCAUCGAGGGCUCGAAAAAAUUGCCGGGCUCCGGCUCGGCUUUCAACGCGACCCCAGGUCAGGCGGGGUUACCCGCUGAAUUUAAGCAUAUCAAUAAGCGGAGGA
rnacentral:misc_RNA from 1 species